UACAGAGGGGGCAAGCGUUGUUCGGAAUUACUGGGCGUAAAGGGCGCGUAGGCGGUCGUGACAAGUCACUUGUGAAAUCUCCGGGCUUAACUCGGAACGGUCAACUGAUACUGCGCGGCUAGAGUGCAGAAGGGGCAACUGGAAUUCUCGGUGUAGCGGUGAAAUGCGUAGAUAUCGAGAGGAACACCUGCGGCGAAGGCGGGUUGCUGGGCUGACACUGACGCUGAUGCGCGAAAGCCAGGGGAGCGAACGGG
rnacentral:rRNA from 1 species